UACGUAGGGGGCAAGCGUUGUCCGGAAUCAUUGGGCGUAAAGCGCGUGUAGGCGGCCCGGUAAGUCCGCUGUGAAAGUCCAGGGCUCAACCCUGGGAUGCCGGUGGAUACUGUCGGGCUCGAGUCCGGAAGAGGCGAGUGGAAUUCCUGGUGUAGUGGUGAAAUGCGCAGAUAUCAGGAGGAACACCAAUGGCGAAGGCAGCUCGCUGGGACGUGACUGACGCUGAGACGCGAAAGCGUGGGGAGCAAACAGG
rnacentral:rRNA from 1 species